rnacentral:rRNA from 1 species
UACGAAGGGGGCUAGCGUUGUUCGGAAUUACUGGGCGUAAAGCGCGCGCAGGCGGUUCUUCAAGUCAGUGGUGAAAGCCCGGAGCUCAACUCCGGAAUUGCCAUUGAAACUGUAGAACUUGAGGAUGAGAGAGGUGAGUGGAAUUCCCAGUGUAGAGGUGAAAUGCGUAGAUAUCGGAAGGAACACCUGUGGCGAAAGCGGCUCACUGGACCAUUACUGACGCUGAGGCACGAAAGCUAGGGGAGCAAACAGG